GAUGAACGCUGGCGGCGUGCCUAAUACAUGCAAGUCGAGCGAACAGACGAGGAGCUUGCUCCUCUGACGUUAGCGGCGGACGGGUGAGUAACACGUGGAUAACCUACCUAUAAGACUGGGAUAACUUCGGGAAACCGGAGCUAACACCGGAUAAUAUAUUGAACCGCAUGGUUCAAUAGUGAAAGCCGUUUUUGCUGUCACUUAUAGAUAUAUCCGCGCCGCAUUAGUUAGGUGGUAAGGAAACGGCUUACCAAGGCAACGAUGCGUAGCCGACCUGAAAGGGAGAUCGGCCACACUGGAACUGAGAAACGGUCCAGACUCCUACGGGAGGCAGCAGUAGGGAAUCUUCCGCAAUGGGCGAAAGCUUGACGGAGCAACGCCGGGGGAGUGAUGAAGGUCUUCGGAUCGUAAAACUCUGUUAUUAGGGAAGAACAAAUGUGUAAGUAACUAUGCACGUCUUGACGGUACCUAAUCAGAAAGCCACGGCUAACUACGUG
rnacentral:rRNA from 1 species